CUCUUCCCUAGGCCUCCUCUAAUACCACCCCGGUGGGGAGGGGAGAGGGUGGAUUGAUAAUUGGAGGUGGAGGUGGAGGCUCAUGCUCACCAUGACGGCUCCAUGACACCUACGUGGUUUUGCCCUGAGGCAUGUGGAAUCUUAGCUCCCUGAUUGCACCUACCCCCGGAAUUGGAAGGCAGAAAAGUCUUAACCACUGAACCACCAGGAAAGUUCAUCCACUCUUAUUUUAAGCUGAAGCCAUUCUAGGUUGGAUGGCAUCACCGACUCAAUGGACGUGAGUCUGAAUAAACAUCCGGGAGUUAGUGAUGGACAGGGAGGCCUGGCAUGCUGCAGUCCAUGGGGUUGCAAAGAGAGACACAACUGAGUGACUGAACUGAACUGACAUUUCUGAACAAUUUAGAAAUGCUUUACUGUUUAUACAAAGUUUCAAACCAUGAGACAAAUAUCAAAUAUUGCUAAUGGAUAACUGAAUUGAGCUUCCCAGGUAGCUCAAAUAGUAAAGAAUCUGUCUGCUAUGCAGGAGACCUGGGUUUGAUCCCUGGUUUGAGAAGAUCCUCUGGAGAAGGGCAUGCCAACCCACUCCAGUAUUCUUGCCUGGAGAAUUCCAUGGACAGAAGAGCUUGGCAGGCUAUAGUCCAUGGGGUUGCAAAGAGUCAGACACGACUGAGUGACUAACACACACACGCACACAUGUAUACCUAAAUUACGGUAAAAGUAUAGAACAGGGAUGGAAAUGAUGAAUUCUUAAUUCAGGAAAAUGCUGAAAACAAUUCAACAGCUAGAAGCCAGUCAUGGCACGGAGCAAGUAGAUAACAAACAAUGCUGGAUGAAUGAAUGAUUCAUUCUUUCAGGAGGGUGAGGAGUAAAGGAUUAGGGACGUGUGCAGAGACUUCAGUUUAAACAUUUUAUGUCUUAGCCUGAGUUUUUGUUACCCAAGCAUUUGUAAUAUUACACUACUUCUCUCUGUUGGAAAUAUUUCAUAGUUAAUAAAACUAAAUCCAGGUUCUGAUGUCUGCUUUCAAAGAGCUCAUAAGUUAGAAUUAGAAUUGUUGCAACUAGCUCACAUUCAUCACUCCAGCCCCAACACUUUUUGGCUGUGUCUUGGGUAAAUUAUUCACCUUCUCUGAGACACUGUCCUCAUCAUAAGAUAGCGAUAGAAGAGUUUCCACCUCACAGAGCCCUUCAGACGAAAGGUGCAAUCAAUAUCUAGUACUGAGUGCCUGGAAUAUAAUAAGUGCUCAGAGCUAUGUCCACAUACAGCAUCUCAGGUCUGCCCAGCCACCCUAUGAAGAUGUGGAAACAGACUCAGGUAAGAACUGGAAAAUGAUGUUGCUGGGGUUUGAACCCAAACACCACCCUUCAUAUUAACCAGUCUGAGUGCUAAAGGAGUUGUAAAGUGGAAUUUACCUGUCGCCUCUGUCUCCCUAUCUUUUUCUUUCCCUGUGUCCUCUGGACACAUAGCACAAAUGGGAUUCUACAGUACUGGUCACCACGCUGUAAGCUCCUUGAGUUAGCAUGGUUGCUCCAACUCUGUCCUGUGGCCAGUCCGUGUGCCUUGCAGCUUUCUGUUGUCAGAAGGGAGCCCUGCUCUCCUCCCAGACCCUGCCACCAAAGCCUGUCUGCCUUUCCCAGGAUGUCCCUGGGCACCAGAGGCAGAGAACAACCUGCUGUGUCUGGAGCUUGGCAACCAUCUUGGCUGGUGUUAAAGAGUAAUUAAGUCAUCCAUGGAAUGACUUAAUUCCUCCAUCCAGUGGUGGAGGCUGAGGUUGUGGUUCAGAGCAGGCUGGGUCAAUGCCAAGGCUACUUUGGCUUCAUCUAAUUCACAUCCCUCACAUUCCUCUCUGCAAGGAUAGGGGCAGGGAGAGGUGAACCAAUCCUGGUAAGAGAAGGCUUGGCCUGGAGCUUGUCUCCUCCUCUUACUAGCUGUGGAAAUUUGGACAAGUAACAACCUCCCUGAGCUGAUAUUUCCUCAUCUUAAGAUGGUGAUAGUAAUCUUUUCUUACCUCAGGGUUGUUGAGCAGCACAAAUGAUAUAAUGAAUUGAAAACCUCUAAUAUGUUUUGCUCUGAUGAGUCCAGAUAGUUCUAUAGUGGGAGGUGGAAGUGGGAAAAGGGGCAUACUGAGGGCUAGACUUUGCUAACAGCCCCCUGGACACCAGCUCCUCUGUUGGCUCAAAGCCAUUUCUCAGAGCGAACCAGACGGAUUGUCUAGAACCCUCCACUUUGUCAAUAUCCUCACCUCUUCCCUGGAGGAGAAAAUGGCAACCCAUUCCAGUAUUCUUGCUUGAAAAAUCCCAUGGACAGAGAAGCCUGUCAAGCUAUAGUUCAAACAGUCACAGAGUCAGAUGCUACUAAGCAUGCGUGCAUAACACCUUUCCCUGAAUUUCCAUUUUGGAAGUGGAUUGUAAUGAACAAGGGAAAGGGGUAGUCAGGUGAUGUUAUGAACUGGUGUUUUAAGAAAAUCCAGGGUUCUCUUGGAAGAAGCAUCAUAGUCAAGAGGGAUGGAUGCAGACAGGGAAGUGAUGUGAUUUUUGGUAAGUGGCUUAACCGCCCUGAAUCUGAUUUCCUCAGCUAAAAACUAAGGAACAUAAUACUUUGCUUGUAGGACAGUUAUAAGGAUCAGUUGAGAGCAUGUAUGGAGAUGCAAAUUGGCACCCCCUUCCAGUAUUCUUGCCUGGAGAAUCCCAUGGAGAGAGGAACAUGGUGGGCUGCAGUCCAUGGGGUCGGAAAGAGUCAGACACAACUGAGCAACUGAGCAUGUGUACACACACAUACACAUGAAGAUGCAGACUGGGCCUGGCAGGGACUCAACACUCAAUCAUAGGAGCUGCUAAUAGCUAGGAGUCACUGAACAGUGGGCUGCCUUCUGUGAAAACAGACCCACCACACUCUCUGAAGCCAUCUCUUCCCAUUUCUUUCUUUCUAAGACUUCUCUGGAUGUUCAUUUGACCUAGAUUUCUCCUGUGCCCAAUACUGAGAGUGAGGGCCCCAGUCAUGGAGUUUGCACGAGAUGGCCUUGAGGGGCUGCUGUAAGGGGCUGGUGACUCUCAGUGGUCUCUCCAUCAGUGCUCACUCAUGAGUGCUGAGGGGAGUGAGGGUGUCUGAGAACAUCUGAUGCCUGGAACCACAAAGAUCUGCACACAGAAUGUCAUGCAUUCAAGUUGGAAUUAAUGUUCUAGACACAGAAGUAGGGACUGGAGGUAAGAUAGUGAACAUGGCUUGGCUCCCUCCUUAUUGAGCUUUCACUUAAAAAAGUGGAACAGGUAUGUAAAUUCAGCUGGCUGAGGGUUCUGAGCUCACAGUCUUGUAGGGGAAACAAUUAAGUCAAUUCAAUAGUCUAAGAGCUCUGAUUCAGUAGGUGGGCUGCCCACAUAUAUGGACUAGUAGGAAGCCUACUGAUCCUGGGCAUCAGGAAUCUUAGGGUUUUGGCCCAGGCUCUGCCACUGAUGUACUCUUGGGCAGAUCCCUUCCAGCUUUUGGAAAUGAGAUGAACUUUAUGGGCCCUUAUAGCAUGUACAAAAGUUUUUUGGUUUUGGUCAUGUGGAGAUUUUAGAACUGGGGAAUAACCAACAUUCUGGUUUAAAGUAUGAAUUAGACAAUUUCAAUAAAGAGGUUAAAAAGGACAAACCUGCAUCUGUGUAACAUUUUGUUUUUCUUCGUGAAAGUGUAACAUCUUUGACUGACAACUCCUUGGCUCAGCCAAGGUGGAGACUUUUAGGAAAAAUCGCCACUAACUAAAGAAGUGAUGAAAAUGACUGUGAGAAACCAAAAGGAAAGAAAUCUUCCUUAAAGUCCCUGCUCCAAAUGGAGAAAGUGUUUCUGCUGAUGGAGCAAGUGAAUCUGGGCAUCCAGGGUGAGCCCAAGAGUCUUGGGAAUGGACUGGCUGAGCAAUAGGUUAGUUUUUAUAUUAAUCUACAUGUCUACAUGGCUUCUCCUAAAGGGGAGCUUCUUCUCUUGGGCAUGCCAUCUUUCAGCAAGUACUGGUGAAGAAACUGCAUCUGAAAUCCCAUGUGGUCCUUCCAGUAAUCCUAGUGAAUGGGAAAUAAACGGAUGAUGGCCAGUAAGAGAUGGCAAUGCCCCCAGGGACCAGCAAAAGCAAGCAAUCUUUCCCACUCUUGGGUAGAUGAUCCCCGUGGGCACUGCAACCAUGUGAGAGGGGCUGCCUCGUGGGAUCUAUGACCAUAGCUUGCGGGUUCAGCUAUUGCCACAACCCUGGCCAGCAGGGAGGGAGUGGAGGAAAUUAAUCGCUUGUUUCUCUCCUCAUGCUUCCCAAUCUCCUCUGGCACCUCCCAUUGGCCAACUGUAGCUCGAAGGCAGAGGACAAAGGAGGCUGGCAAUGCAGUUUGUGGAGCUCGGCUUCUUGAGGCCCAGCAGGGCCUGGUCUACAGGAGAGAAUUCACAGAGCUGGGAAGGACAGCAGAAUCAAUACCAAGCAAGAGGCUCUUCCAACUCUCACAGCCUUGGGACCAAGAAACCUGUUCCCCAUUGAGCAGUUCACUGACUCAAGGGACAUGAGUCUGAGAUUGCAAAGGUCAUGGAGCUGGCUAUCAGAGGAAAUUAAAGUUAGCUGCGAAUCGGAGUGAAUGGGAAUCAGUGUGAAAUGAGACUAAGAGAUGCCUAGAACAUAGAACGAAAUUCGCUUUCUUUGUUGAAGCUUUUCAGACCCUUUGAUGUACAUUAGUAAUAGAAGCUCAGUUUGUAUGAUAAACAAAGAGGCGCCAUUAAAGAGGAUAUGUCCUCAUUUUUCGUCACUUGUUGAAAUCAAACUUCAGUUCUGCAGGAUACAAUUAUUAUCACGAUUCAGAAUUGUAUACACUGGAUGCAUUUCCUCAGAGCCUCUCUGCCUUGCUGAUGUUUUGCUGCUGUGUCCUACUGUUGUGUACCUGUCGAUGUUUCUGUCAAGCCUUGCUGUGCUUGCCUGCUUGGGAGAUGGACCAGAGCUCUGCCAUACCUCCUCCAGCGGCUACUUGGUACUCAUCUCAUGGAAUCUGCCUCUCAACCUGUGAAGAGGGUGAUCAGAGAGCUGGAAACCUCCAGUGUGGCCCUUUCUGGCCUCGAUUCAGAUGCGCCCAUGACUUUCUUGUCCUGAGAGAGGGCAGAUGUGAUAGGAAGCAAACUCGUGUACUGGUGCACAUCUGGGUCCAGUGCCCUCACCUGGUCAGGCAGGGACGCGGGAAAUCUGCUUGCCCGGGGAAUCUGCUUCCAGCCCUUCGGCCUCUGCUUCUCAUGUGAUCUGAGAGGUCUCCCAGGAAGGGCUGAAACCCCUCUGGCUCAGAAUCCUGAGAAAGCUGGCAGAGGAAAUCAGAGCAAAGGAAGGUCAGUGUCAUGUCCGGUGGUGCCAAAGUAUAAGGCCAAGUGGAAAUAAGAAUUUGCCUUGAACUCUUUUUUCUGGGUGCUUGUGGUUUUUUUUUUUUCAUUACCUGAUCGACUGGGCAUUAGGGAAGUAUGCCCCACCUUUUCCAGGAGUGGUUCUGACUUUAUAGUUUUAAGAAAUUCAAGAGUCUGAGGUUGACACUUCAAUAUAAGCACACUGAAUGCUGUUGUUCUAGAUACUGACUUAGGAAUUAAUCUUUGGCAAAUUACAUUACAGUAGCACCACAUAACCUUUUAUUUUAAUUUUCUUUCUCUAUAGGCUAUUUUAUAUCCACCUAAGAUAUUCUGAAAAUAAGCCGUGACACCUAAGAAUAUACAUUUAUCACUGCAUUAAUUCUCCAACUGGGGUGUUGCCCAUAUUUUAGAAUUACCUGGCUCCAGUUCCAGGGAAUGGAAUAUAUGAUAAGGUAGAAUGAGAGUAUAUGUUCUAAUGUGAUCCCCUGGAGAAAGAGAUGGUAACCCACUCCAGUAUUCUUGCCUGGGAAUUCCCACAAACAGAGGAGAUUCACAGGCUACAGUCCAUGGAGUCUCAAAAGAGUCAGACAUGACUUAGUGACUAAACAACAAACAAAAUGUUAACUAUCUAUGCAUUCUUAGAUGCAGAAAUAUUAUUCUAUGUAUUUGAAAUACUUUAUCAGUUUUAUGCUUACUUCUAAAAAUUCUUGGAGUUAAGACACACUUAUCUAAUCAUCAAACAGUCACGCAACCCCAAACAAUUGGGACUGUCUUUCCAAACACCUUUUUGGGAAUUUCCUCAGCUGGCUGAGAGAUCCUAGGCCAGGGAAGAGGAAAGCAUUUCUACCUGUGACUCUGAUGGGAUGGACUACAACCUUUUGAUGGUUGUUCUAACAAGGACUGGUCACAGAGCUUAGUUUUGAAACAAGAGGUGAAAAUGAAAGCCAAGCUUAUGUCUGGUUGAUAGAAUGGAACUUGCAUCCUGCUUAGGACCAUUCUUUUGUCUAAACACGGCACCACUCAUAUUUAUCAUCUACCUUUCCCAAUUCUCAUCCCCCUCUGAUGGGAAAUAAAUGAAACAGCAGAUAUCUGUCAAUUGUUGAAUAUGCACAAUGGGAUAUUAUUUAAAGAAAUAUAAAAGGGACUAAAGGAAUGAAGGGAUAAAAAGGAAUAUAAUGCUUUUGUAAGCUACAACUUGGAGCCUUGAAAAUGUUAUGCUAAAUGAAAAAGACCAGUCACAAAAUGCCACAUACUGUUUGAUUCUGUUUGUUUAAAAAAAAUUCCAAAAGUGAAUCCAUAGAGAUGGAAAGCAGGUCGGUCAUGGCUAGGAGGAAGGAGGAGUAGGGAGUGACUACUUAAUGGGCACAGGCUUUCCUCUAACAGUGAUGAAAUGUUUUGGAACUAGAGAGAGCUGAUGGCUGCACACCCUUGUGAAUGUACUAGUUGCCGUUGGACUGUACACUUUACAGUGGUUUAAAUGAAUUUUUUAUUAUAUGAAUUUUACUUCAACUUAAAAAAAGGGAUAGUGUAAAACAAAGAGAAGGGGGGGAAGAGGAAAUAUCAUUGGACAAGACGAUUCAACAAAUUUUAGAAAAUGGAAAACAUUUGGAGAAAUGGAAAUUGACUUACCAGAGCAGAGGAAGCGAAAACCUAAGUGGUUUCGAGAGAAUGAGGAAUGCGGGUGGGGUAACCAAUGGAGAAAGGAGCUACUUUACUGGUCAGACACUAUAGAAAGGCUGAGGCUUAGAGAUAACAGGUGCUAUGAUAAGUAGCAAUAAAUAAAUAACUUCUGGUUGAAAUUCAGAAUAUAGAGAAUUUGGAUGUCAAGGUCUUUUUUUCUCCCCAUGCCAAACAGUCAGGAGACUUUACAGCCUGUCCCCUUGCUCUGCCCUGGGAGACUGAGAGAUGGUGGAGUUCAGGGUGAAAUCCCAUCCUGA
ensembl:lncRNA